rnacentral:rRNA from 1 species
AUUGAACGCUGGCGGCAGGCCUAACACAUGCAAGUCGAGCGGGGUUUUCGGACCUAGCGGCGGACGGGUGAGUAAUGCGUAGGAAGCUACCCGAUAGAGGGGGAUACCAGUUGGAAACGACUGUUAAUACCGCAUAAUGUCUACGGACCAAAGUGUGGGACCUUCGGGCCACAUGCUAUCGGAUGCGCCUACGUGGGAUUAGCUAGUUGGUGAGGUAAUGGCUCACCAAGGCGACGAUCCCUAGUGGGUUUGAGAGGAUGAUCAGCCACACUGGAACUGAGACACGGUCCAGACCCCUACGGGAGGCAGCAGUGGGGAAUAUUGGACAAUGGGCGCAAGCCUGAUCCAGCCAUGCCGCGUGUGUGAAGAAGGCCCUCGGGUUGUAAAGCACUUUCAGCGAGGAGGAAGGGGUGAGUGUUAAUAGUACUCAUCUUUGACGUUACUCGCAGAAGAAGCACCGGCUAACUCUGUGCCAGCCGCCGCUGUAACAC